AUUAAAGGAAAUAAGAGCGCACAGUGGAUGCCUGGGCACCAAGAGCUGAUGAAGGACGCAAUUAACGGCGAUACGCUACGGGGAGCUGUAAAUAAGUGUAGAUCCGUGGAUUUCCGAAUGGGGCAACCUACUAUAAGAAGUUAUAGUAUCAAUUGUUAGGCAACUAACUGAUUGAAAGGAACGCAGUGAACUGAAAUAUCUAAGUAACUGCAGGAACAGAAAGUAAUAACGAUUCCGGUAGUAGUGACGAGCGAAUCCGGAACAGCCAGAUACCAAUAACUAGUUACCAAAUUUUAAUUAACUCGAAAUAGUUGGAAAGCUAUAUCCCAGAAGGUGAAAAUCCUGUAGAGGUAAGUUAAAAUCUAGGGUAUCCUCAAGUACGGCGAGACACGAGAAAUCUUGUUGGAAGAUAGGAGGACCAUCUCCUAAGGCUAAAUACUCCUUGGUGACCGAUAGUGAACUAGUACCGUGAGGGAAAGGUGAAAAGAACCCCGGAAGGGGAGUGAAAUAGAUCCUGAAACUGUGUGCUUACAAGUAGUCAAAGCUCGUUUAAGAGUGAUGGCGUGCCUUUUGCAGAAUGAACCGGCGAGUUAUGAUAUAGAGCAAGGUUAAGUUUGAAGGAACGUAGCCGUAGCGAAAGCGAGUCUGAAUAGGGCGUUUAGUUGUAUGUCAUAGACCCGAAACUGAAGUGAGCUAGCCAUGAACAGGCUGAAGUGACGUGACCACGUCAUGGAGGGCCGAACCAGGACACGUUGAAAAGUGUUUGGAUGAUUUGUGGCUAGAGGUGAAAUUCCAAUCGAACUCAGAGAUAGCUGGUUCUCCCCGAAAUAGUUUUAGGGCUAGCGUUGGGUAUUUAAUAGUUCUUGAAGGUAGAGCACUAAAUGAGUGCGGGCUCCACCUCGGAGUACCAAUCUCAAUUAAACUCCGAAUGUCAAGAACUGUAUCCCAGCAGUCAGACUAUGGGUGAUAAGGUCCAUGGUCAAAAGGGAAAGAGCCCAGACCGUCAGCUAAGGUCCCUAAAUUAAUGUUAAGUGGUUAAGGAAGUAAAAACGUUAAAACAAUUAGGAAGUUGGCUUAGAAGCAGCCAUCUUUUAAAGAGUGCGUAAUAGCUCACUAAUCUAAUAUUUUUGCACCGAAAAUGUAACGGGGCUAAACAUUAUACCGAAGCUACGGAUAUGUUCCGGUUAGUAAUAGCUAAGGAACAUGUGGUAGGGGAAGCGUUCUAACAUCGUAGAAGCUAUAGCGGAAGCAGUAGUGGAGAGGUUAGAAGUGAGAAUGCCGGUGUAAGUAACGAAAAGAUAGAUGAGAAUUCUAUCCGUCGAAAACCUAAGGUUUCCAGGGGCAGGGUCGUCCGCCCUGGGUUAGUCAGGAACUAAGGCGAGGCAGCAAUGCGUAGUCGAUGACUAGCAGGCUAAAAUUCCUGCACUAAAAAAAUCACUGAUGGAGGGACAAAAGAGGAUAAGCACGCCCUUUAUUGGAUUAGGGUCGAAAAAUCGAGUUUGAGAAGAUAGGCAAAUCCGUCUUCUUAUUUGCCAAAAAAUGAGAUUUGAGGGUAACGUGACUGUGUUCAUAUUUUCUAGAAAAGCUUCUAGGGUUAAUGAUUUUUUUACCUGUACCGUAAACCGACACAGGUGGGAAGGUAGAGUAUACUAAGACGCGCGAGAAAACUCUUGUUAAGGAACUCGGCAAAAUGACUCCGUAACUUCGGGAUAAGGAGAGCUUUUAUGAUAAAAAGUAAAAGCCGCAGAGAAUAGGCCCAAGCGACUGUUUAUCAAAAACACAGGUCUCUGCUAAACCGUAAGGUGAUGUAUAGGGGCUGAUGCCUGCCCGGUGCUGGAAGAUUAAGAGGAGAUGUUCGGGCUUCUUGCCCAAAGCAUUGAAUUGAAGUCCCAGUGAACGGCGGCCGUAACUAUAACGGUCCUAAGGUAGCGAAAUUCCUUGUCGGGUAAAUUCCGACCUGCACGAAAGGCAUAACGAUUUGGGCGCUGUCUCAACAAGAGUCUCGGUGAAAUCAAAUUACCGGUGAAAAUGCCGGUUACCCGCGACAGGACGAAAAGACCCCAUGGAGCUUUACUGUAGCUUAAUAUUGGAAUUGGAAAUCUCAUGUACAGGAUAGGUGGGAGACAGAGAACUUUAGACGCUAGUUUAAAGGGAGUCACCGGUGGGAUACCACUCUUGAGAUUUUUAGUUUCUAACCUGCAUAAGUGGAUUAUGAGGGACAGUGUUUGGUGGGCAGUUUGACUGGGGCGGUCGCCUCCUAAAAAGUAACGGAGGCGUUCAAAGGUUCCCUCAAAAUGGUCAGAAAUCAUUUUUAGAGCGUAAAGGUAUAAGGGAGCUUGACUGUGAGACCUACAAGUCGAGCAGGGACGAAAGUCGGACUUAGUGAUCUUGCGGUACCGAAUGGAAGGGCCGUGACUCAACGGAUAAAAGCUACCCUGGGGAUAACAGCCUUAUCGCCCCCGAGCGUUCACAGCGACGGGGCGGUUUGGGACCUCGAUGUCGGCUCAUCGCAUCCUGGAGCUGGAGCAGGUUCCAAGGGUUGGGCUGUUCGCCCAUUAAAGCGGUACGCGAGCUGGGUUCAGAACGUCGUGAGACAGUUCGGUCUCUAUCCGUCGUGGGCGUUGGAAAUUUGCGAGGAACUGUCCCUAGUAUGAGAAGACCGGGAUGGAUAUACCGCUGGUGCACCAGUUGGUUCGCCAGAGCCAUAUCUGGGUAGCUAUGUAUAGUAUGGAUAAACACUGAAAGCAUCUAAGUGUGAAGCCUCCCUCAAGAUGAGAUUUCCCUAAGAGAUCCCUGAAAGACGAUCAGGUUGAUAGGCUAGAAGUGGAAGAGUAGUGAUAUUUGGAGCUGACUAGUACUAAUAGAUCCAACGACUUUGAUGA
rnacentral:rRNA from 1 species